AUCUUGCUGAAAGCCCGAACUAAAGGAAGCUGUGUUUGGACAACAGGCACAAUUUGGGGUGGUGGCACAGGGCCACACACCUCCGGUUACCCCUUGGAUCAACCACAGGUAACCUAUGCAUGUGGCACAAAGUUCAAAAAAUACAAAAGGAUGUACGUUGAAAACUUGUCAAGAGACACAGUUACCAUUCUUGUGCAGGCCUCCAGAAACAACAUAUGAACAACUAAGCAAACACGGCUAAGCUCUUUCCCUCUCAAAUGGCAGUAUUCCAAGCAUGCUUCUCUGCACUUGC
rnacentral:sRNA from 1 species